rnacentral:rRNA from 1 species
UACGGAGGGAGCUAGCGUUGCUCUGGAAUGUACGUGGGCGUAAAGGGCGCGUAGGCGGUUUGUACAGAUCAUGAGUGUCGAAAAUUCCUGGGCUCAACCUGGGGGCUGCAUUUGAUACGUAGUGGACUGGAGUGAGGAAGAGGGUCGAUGGAAUUCCCAUGUGUAGAGGUGAAAUUCGUAGAUAUUGGGUAAGAACAACCGGGU